rnacentral:lncRNA from 1 species
CUAGGAUUUUUGUUUUCAUAUCUUUCCUCCCUCUAUCUUGAGUUUCCUGAGAGCGUCUCAGAUCUGAAACUCCUCCUUCUACUUUUCAUCUUUAGAAGAGUCCAAAUCAAGAAGAAGGAGGUACCUGAUCAACCAUCAAAGAAGGAUCAGUGCAGUACUAGCAUACUGUGCUGAUUUCCUGAAGCAGGACUUCUGAUCGAGAUUCGUGGGCUCGUGUGGAUGACUCCUAGAGGUCGGACGCAUGUGCGGCUUGCAACAUCAUCCUUAAGCCCGGAUC